UGGUCAAACAUGCAAAGACUAA
rnacentral:siRNA from 1 species